rnacentral:pre_miRNA from 2 species
AGAGGGAUUGCUGGGUAAUAUGGUAAGUCCAUUCUUAAUUUUUUUAGGAAUUACCAAACUGUUUUCCAUAGUGGCUGUACCAGUUUACAUUCCCACCAGCAGU